rnacentral:rRNA from 1 species
GACGAACCGAGCGAACGUUAUUCGGAAUAACUGGGCUUAAAGGGUGCGUAGGCGGGCUGUCAAGUCUGGGGUGAAAUCCGGCAGCUUAACUGUCGAACUGCCUUAGAUACUGAUGGCCUCGAGGAAGGUAGGGGCAUGCGGAACUGUAGGUGGAGCGGUGAAAUGCGUUGAUAUCUGGAGGAACACCGGUGGCGAAGGCGGCAUCCUGGACCGACACUGACGCUGAGGAGCGAAAGCCAGGGGAGCAACGGGAU